AUUGAACGCUGGCGGCAGGCUUAACACAUGCAAGUCGAGCGAGCGGCGGACGGGUGAGUAAUGUCUGGGAAACUGCCCGAUGGCGGGGGAUAACUACUGGAAAGGGUAGCUAAUACCGCAUACCAUCAGAUCUGCCCAGAUGGGAUUAGCUAGUAGGUGGGGUAACGGCUCACCUAGGCGACGAUCCGUAGCUGGUCUGAGAGGAAGACCAGCCACACUGGAACUGAGACACGGUCCAGACUCCUACGGGAGGCAGCAGUGGGGAAUAUUGGACAAUGGGCGAAAGCCUGAUGCAGCCAUGCCGCGUGUAUGAAGAAGGCCUUCGGGUUGUAAAGUACUUUCGGCAGGGAGGCGUUACCCGCAGAAGAAGCACCGGCUAACUCCGUGCCAGCAGCCGCGGUAAUUC
rnacentral:rRNA from 1 species